GAUGAACGCUGGCGGCGUGCCUAAUACAUGCAAGUAGAACGCUGAAGCUUGGUGCUUGCACCGAGCGGAUGAGUUGCGAACGGGUGAGUAACGCGUAGGUAACCUGCCUCUUAGCGGGGGAUAACUAUUGGAAACGAUAGCUAAUACCGCAUAAAAGUCGAUAUCGCAUGAUAUUGAUUUGAAAGGUGCAAAUGCAUCACUAAGAGAUGGACCUGCGUUGUAUUAGCUAGUUGGUGAGGUAACGGCUCACCAAGGCGACGAUACAUAGCCGACCUGAGAGGGUGAUCGGCCACACUGGGACUGAGACACGGCCCAGACUCCUACGGGAGGCAGCAGUAGGGAAUCUUCGGCAAUGGGGGCAACCCUGACCGAGCAACGCCGCGUGAGUGAAGAAGGUUUUCGGAUCGUAAAGCUCUGUUGUAAGAGAAGAACGAGUGUGAGAGUGGAAAGUUCACACUGUGACGGUAACUUACCAGAAAGGGACGGCUACUACCA
rnacentral:rRNA from 1 species